rnacentral:sRNA from 1 species
AAGAACAACAACAACACACAAA